AAAGAAACCAACCCAUUUAGUGUUUCUCCUGUUGUCUCCAUUUAGUAUUUUGUGAAAAAGUUAGUGUGAUAUAACGCAAUUGGUGGCACAGGAACAGAGGUGGUGCUGAGGUUACUAUCCCAAACCUGUGUGUGGAGUAAACAUGAUUGGAUUUAGAGUUGACAACUGCGAAUUUUAUUUAAAUGUUAUAGCCCACUAGAAGCGAGAUGUAUGCAAGACAAGCAGAUGGGACUACAAUGAAUAUUGUACUUAGUAAACUGCUGAUUUACAGAGAUGACAAGGUACCUUUAGUGCAAUUAAUAUCACUAGUAAAACUUUUUGUCUUCGAAAUGUGUAGUUUACUAUAUUUAUUAAAUAAUUCCAUACACUAGUUCCUCCUAAACCUCUCUUCUGGCUAAGAUAGUCCAAGUCCAAAUUACCGAAGACUAGAAUUGCUAUGAAUUUCAAUACAAAAAUGUUUAACUACACAAAUGGAAAAAUUAUUAGUACAAUAUUCUAAGUAAUGGUAUUUUAGUAAUUAGUUUUCCUCUUUGGUACCCAACAUCCCUGUAAAUCAUUAAUAAAAUCACAAGACAUGGCGUUAUAGACUAGAGGAUCACUGAAGAUACCAAGAAAGAGGAGACAAGAGUAUUAAUGAAGAAACCAAGAAAAAACUAAGGAUCGUUAAGCCUUAAAACCAGAGGAAUUAUGGGUGACAAGAGGAUCACUGAGGAGAUCAAGAAAGAGGAGAGAAGACCAAGAAAGAAGGAAAGAUCGCCGAAAUUCAAAAACCAGAGUAAUUAAGGGAUCACCCCAGAUAUCAAGAAGAAAUAAGAAAAUCACUGAAGGUACCCAGAAGUUCUGAAGAAAGCAGAAUUGU